UUGCCAGGUGGGAUCAUCUUUACUUGUUCCUCCUUUUGGAGGGCAAAAGAAUGUAAUGUUUGGAAAGUGCAUGAUUUGUAAUUAAUGUCCCCACUUAAUCAGGACUUACAACACCCUGAUCACUCCUAUCUGAU